GAACGCUGGCGGCGUGCCUAAUACAUGCCAGUCGAGCGAACAGACGAGGAGCUUGCUCCUCUGACGUUAGCGGCGGACGGGUGAGUAACACGUGGAUAACCUACCUAUAAGACUGGGAUAACUUCGGGAAACCGGAGCUAAUACCGGAUAAUAUAUUGAACCGCAUGGUUCAAUAGUGAAAGACGGUUUUGCUGUCACUUAUAGAUGGAUCCGCGCCGCAUUAGCUAGUUGGUAAGGUAACGGCUUACCAAGGCAACGAUGCGUAGCCGACCUGAGAGGGUGAUCGGCCACACUGGAACUGAGACACGGUCCAGACUCCUACGGGAGGCAGCAGUAGGGAAUCUUCCGCAAUGGGCGAAAGCCUGACGGAGCAACGCCGCGUGAGUGAUGAAGGUCUUCGGAUCGUAAAACUCUGUUAUUAGGGAAGAACAAAUGUGUAAGUAACUAUGCACGUCUUGACGGUACCUAAUCAGAAAGCCACGGCUAACUACGUG
rnacentral:rRNA from 1 species